GAGUUUGAUCGUGGCUCAGGAUGAACGCUGGCGGCGUGCCUAAUACAUGCAAGUCGAGCGAACGGACGAGAAGCUUGCUUCUCUGAUGUUAGCGGCGGACGGGUGAGUAACACGUGGAUAACCUACCUAUAAGACUGGGAUAACUUCGGGAAACCGGAGCUAAUACCGGAUAAUAUUUUGAACCGCAUGGUUCAAAAGUAAAAGACGGUCUUGCUGUCACUUAUAGAUGGAUCCGCGCUGCAUUAGCUAGUUGGUAAGGUAACGGCUUACCAAGGCAACGAUGCAUAGCCGACCUGAGAGGGUGAUCGGCCACACUGGAACUGAGACGCGGUCCAGACUCCUACGGGAGGCAGCAGUAGGGAAUCUUCCGCAAUGGGCGAAAGCCUGACGGAGCAACGCCGCGUGAGUGAUGAAGGUCUUCGGAUCGUAAAACUCUGUUAUUAGGGAAGAACAUAUGUGUAAGUAACUGUGCACAUCUUGACGGUACCUAAUCAGAAAGCCACGGCUAACUACGUG
rnacentral:rRNA from 1 species